UCAUUUUCCAUAAAAUCACAAAAACAAAUAAAAACCACUUUAGAUAAUUAAGAUGAUAGUAAAGUUACUCAUUAUGUUAAGAGUUCGGAUUUUGAAGUACUCUGACUAUUGAUCCUCGAGUGCAAUUUCUUUGCCCUUUUUCGGAGGAUUCACCACCUAGACAUAAUGCAAAAUCAAGCAAUUUACCACAUUGGUGCUAAACCAUUAUAAAACUAAUCUAAACUCUAUAUGAAUGCAUGAUAUGAAACGCGAAUUGUUCGGAUUAUC
rnacentral:lncRNA from 1 species